rnacentral:lncRNA from 1 species
GACAGCUUCGCGUUCCGUUUCGCUUUGGCCGAUGCUUGCCGGAAGUACACUUAUUUACCGGAUGUUGUCGUCUCCUCCGCAGGCUCUUCGAUCUUCGACUACGCGCGCGGCUCGACACAAAUGGAAAACAACAAAAAAAACAAGAAAAAAAAAAUAGGAGCCGAAUUUAAGACCUCGGUGUCGUACCGACCCGAGGUAAUAACUUCUAAACAAGUAAAGCUAUCAAACAGAAAUAACUAUAGCAUUAAAUAGAGGAAGGACUAACUUAGAUUUUGAUAUAUUGCAGUUGUAUUUUACUUAAAAAUUCACGGAGAUAUUAAUGUUCAAAAUCGGGAGCAUAUGGGAUGUGUCUAAAAUUAGCGAAAAACGGCAUAUCAAAUAUUAAUUCCAGCGUUUGUUUGCUUAAUGACAUGCAUAUCAGGCUAUUAUAAACUUGUAUUUCAGCGAAUUGUCGUUAGGGUUUAUAAGGGAUAUGGCGUAGAUUUAGACAUCUUACAUGUAAGUCUCAGCUCAUUGUUUCCUGAAAUAUGAACGUUCGAAAUUAUGCGGGUAUUUAAUAGGUCUUUACAAACUUAAAGGUACAUGCAUGAAAGCGGACGAUGCAAGUUAAAUUUUUUUUAAAUAUAGCC